AUUGAACGCUGGCGGUAUGCUUAACACAUGCAAGUCGAACGGUAACAGGCCUUCGGGCGCUGACGAGUGGCGGACGGUGAGUAACGCGUAGGAAUCUGCCUCAUAGUGGGGACAACGUGGGGAAACUCACGCUAAUACCGCAUACGCCCUACGGGGAAAGCGGGGAUCCUCGGACCUCGCGCUAUGAGAUGAGCCUGCGUUAGAUUAGCUAGUUGGUAGGGUAAAGGCCUACCAAGGCGACGAUCUAUAGCUGGUCUGAGAGGACGAUCAGCCACACUGGGACUGAGACACGGCCCAGACUCCUACGGGAGGCAGCAGUGGGGAAUAUUGGACAAUGGGCGCAAGCCUGAUCCAGCAAUACCGCGUGUGUGAAGAAGGCCUUAGGGUUGUAAAGCACUUUCAAUUGGGAGGAAAACCUGCCGGUCAAUACCCGGUAGCUUGACAUUACCUUAGAAGAAGCACCGGCUAACUCCGUGCCAGCAGCCGCGGUAA
rnacentral:rRNA from 1 species